UACGGGAGGCAGCAGUGGGGAAUAUUGCACAAUGGGCGCAAGCCUGAUGCAGCCAUGCCGCGUGUAUGAAGAAGGCCUUCGGGUUGUAAAGUACUUUCAGUCGUGAGGAAGGUGUUAAGGUUAAUAACCUUAGCAAUUGACGUUAGCGGCAGAAGAAGCACCGGCUAACUCCGUGCCAGCAGCCGCGGUAAUACGGAGGGUGCGAGCGUUAAUCGGAAUUACUGGGCGUAAAGGGCACGCAGGCGGUUAAUUAAGUUGGAUGUGAAAUCCCCGGGCUUAACCUGGGAAUGGCAUUCAAGACUGGUUAGCUAGAGUCUUGUAGAGGGGGUUAGAAUUCCAUGUGUAGCGGUGAAAUGCGUAGAGAUGUGGAGGAAUACCGGUGGCGAAGGCGGCCCCUGGGACAAAGACUGACGCUCAUGUGCGAAAGCUGGGGGCAAAC
rnacentral:rRNA from 1 species